UACUGUAGGAGCCGUUUUGCGUUAUUAUUAUUUGGUUUAAGCCCUGCAAUAUCAUUUUUGGACACUUGGUGGCGGUGAUUAAAUGCACUAGGCUGUCAGUAUAUAAGGGUGCACAGGUGACAGGAAGGGUGUGAUUGGACACAGGUAGAGAGAGCAUACAGUUCUCACCAGUGAGCGACCUGAAACACAGCAGUGAUAGAUCAGUGACAGCGAUCAACUCAUACAACCGAACGAAUCAGUGAUAACCUACAACCGAACCAGCUACUCAACCGGAACAGCAACAGACAAGCAGACACCAAUAGACAUCCAUAGAACUGACAACCAUCCAUAACUACAACCGGAAGCUCCAUCUGCGAGACUGAGAUCAGCACCAGAAGGAAGGAGUGUGAAGCACUUGAGGCGGAGGUGAAGAAAAAGAAUCAAACAUGUCAGACUUUGGACAUUUUCUCACAGUGGCCCAGAAAUGUCAUUCUGCCUGCUGGAGUGGCCUUGACUCAGGACAAAAGGCAAAGAGAAGGAAAACAAGAUGCGGUAGAGAGAACCAGCUGAAAAGCAAAGAAAGAAAUGCGCUUUUUCUUUUUUUACAUGCCUCAUCUUGACGCUUUGGCGAUGCGUUAUUUAAAUAAAGGCUGUGUAUGAAAAUAUAU
rnacentral:lncRNA from 1 species